rnacentral:snRNA from 1 species
GGAUGUGAGGGCGAUCUAGCUGCGACAUCUGUCACCCCACUGAUCAUCAGGGUUGGUUUGUUGAUCUGGCUGGCUAGGUGGGUGUCCCCUCCCUCCGUCACCUCUCCAUGUGCAUCCCUCCCGAAGCUGCGCACAAAGUCAAAGAGGAUGGUGGCCUUCCCUGAAUUGAGAGGGACCGGUCUUCGGUCUUGGGUAUAUAAGUAGCUGUGCUUCCCUGCUAGAACCUCCAAACAAGUUCUCAAGAGUAAGGCAAGAGGGUUGGGGGUGGUGUAACUAGUG